rnacentral:rRNA from 1 species
GGGGAAUCUUGCACAAUGGGGGAAACCCUGAUGCAGCGACGCCGCGUGAACGAUGAAGCCCUUCGGGGUGUAAAGUUCUUUCGACAGGAACGAUAAUGACGGUACCUGGAGAAGAAGCUGCGGCUAACUACGUGCCAGCAGCCGCGGUAAUACGUAGGCAGCGAGCGUUGUUCGGAGUUACUGGGCGUAAAGAGUGCGUAGGCGGCGAGCCAAGUUUGGUGUGAAAUCUCCCGGCUUAACCGGGAGGGUGCGCCGAAAACUGGUUGGCUGGAGUAUGGGAGAGGACAGCGGAAUUCCUGGUGUAGUGGUGAAAUGCGUAGAUAUCAGGAGGAACACCUGCGGUGUAGACAGCUUUCUGGACCAAAACUGACGCUGAGGCACGAAAGCGUGGGUAGCAAACA